CAAGUAAAUUACAAUAAUAGCAAGACAUAAACCAAUAUUACACAAAACAAGACAGUAACAAAAUUACAGAUAAUGGUAAAUUAUAUAAACAAUCCCCUUUCUUAGGUUCCAGGUCUGGUAACCCUAACUCAUAAGCCAUUUUAAAGAGAUACACCUUAAGCAAAUGUUUAAAAAACACAUUUAGAAGAGGAAGAUUUUUGGUACAAAGGCAAGUCAUUGCAGAACUGAGGUGCUGCCACCCCUUUAAGUUUUAAGCACAUCUGUUCAGACAGCAACAGAGUAUUAGAUGUCCUUAAGUACCUAUUGGGCUGAGGGUAAGAGAGAUAAAUAGUGUGGUGCCAAACCAUUCAAG